rnacentral:rRNA from 1 species
ACUAACAAGGAUUCCCMUAGUAACUGCGAGUGAAGAGGGAAAAGCUCAAAUUUAAAAUCUGGCAGUCUCUGGCUGUCCGAGUUGUAAAUUAGAGAAGUGUUAUCCGCUCAAGCCUGUGCAAAAGUCUCUUGGAAAAGAGCAUCAUAGAGGGUGACAAUCCCGUCUUUGGCACAGAUCACUUGCGCUUUUGUGAUGCGCUCUCAAUGAGUCGAGUUGUUUGGGAAUGCAGCUCUAAAUGGGUGGUAAAUUCCAUCUAAAGCUAAAUAUUGGCGAGAAACCGAUAGCGCACAAGUACCGUGAGGGAAAGAUGAAAAGAACUUUGAAAAGAGAGUUAAACAGUACGUGAAAUUGUUGAAAGGGAAACGCUUGGAGUCAGUCGUGUCCUGCKGAAUCAACCCAUCCUUUGGUUGGGUGUACUUUUUYGUAGGAUGGGUCAGCAUCAAUUUUGAUUGUUGGAAAAAGGACUUGGGAAUGUGGCAUCUUUGGAUGCGUUAUAGCCCUUGUUUGUAUACAAUGAUUGGGAUUGAGGAACUCAGUGUGACUUUUGUUUGGGGGCAUUGCCUCACAUCAACGCACUUAGGAUGCUGGCAUAAUGGCUUUAAUCGACCCGUCUUGAAACACGGACCAAGGAGUCUAACAUGCAUGCAAGUGUUUGGGUGGAAAACUCAAGCGCGUAAUGAAAGUGAAAGUUGAGAACCCUGUCGUGGGGUGCAUCGACGCCCGGUCUUGACCUUUUGUGACGGACCUGCGGUAGAGCAUGUAUGUUGGGACCCGAAAGAUGGUGAACUAUGCCUGAUAGGUGAAGCCAGAGAACUCUGGUGGAGCUCGUAGCGAUUCUGACGUGCAAUCGAUCGUCAAUUUGGUAUAGGGCGAAGACUAUCGACAUCUAGUAGCUGUCUGC